AACGUAGGGGACAAGCGUUAUCCGGAUUUACUGGGCGUAAAGCGCCCGUAGGCGGCUUAAUAAGUUGGACGUGAAAGCUCCCGGCUUAACUGGGAGAGGCCGUUCAAAACUGUAAGGCUAGAGUGAGGCAGAGGAGCGCGGAAUUCCAGGUGUAGCGGUGAAAUGCGUAGAUAUCUGGAGGAACACCGGUGGCGAAGGCGGCAUCCUGGACCGGUAUUGACGCUGAGGCGCGAAAGCCAGGGGAGCAAACGGG
rnacentral:rRNA from 1 species